rnacentral:lncRNA from 12 species
AUUUUGUAGGUGUAACAUCUCAGCCCACACAGCCCACCUGCUCCGAUCUCUGUUUCAUCUUUAACAACUGGUGUUUUUAACAGUGGUGCUGACUCUGGAUUAGCUACGGAAGCAUGAAGCGACCAGAGAGAUGAAAUUUCACAGGAAGUUUCACAUUUUUUUUUUCCUCCCAAGAGAAGUGACCUGAUGGGACAAUGACAAAUUCCUUGGCUUCUGCGUGACCCCCCAAGGACACUGUGCAUAGUUCUGAGGCUUGAUGGGGGCUCUCGUGAGCUUGACAGAUGGGAACUGUUUGAUAACUUAUAACCUUUUGUGAGAAUCCCAAUCCUGGAGACUUCAGAAGCCUGUGUUGUGGCCCCCACCCUUCCCCCUGGGAGUGAGGAGCCUGUCCCAGUCAGCUGCCAUUCAGCACAGCACAGAGCCCUCAUCUCUUCUUCUCUGGAUUCACAUCGCAGACUAGUAGGACAGCUGACCACACUGUGGUAGCAUUAGUGUUGUUUAGAAAGACUUUGUGUCCACCUCUCUGUGGACUUAACAAUGUAUUUGUGUUAACUGUGCCAUUAAAACUUAGCAUACUCAUGUGACUUGCUGUGCCAUGUUAGCCCGCAAUAUUCUGGAGAGUCACCCUUUGUUACUCAGGGUAAGAGUGAAGCCAGUGAUGAUGGUGAGCAAGUCUCCACAGAGGCAGGAUGGUCCAUCAGUGUGAAGGACACAGGCAUGUCGGUUAUGUAAGCCUCUCGUGACUAUUGUGAUUAGGUCAGCAGCCAGAGCCCACCCCCUGCAACAAGAGCUUCAGAACACAGUUGGUUGUGUUCUCGCUCCUCUUGCAACCACGCAUGGGCAUGCCAUCUCAUGCCAACCCCAGUGAUGGUUCCUACCAUGAUCUUCCUGCAACAUUCAUUAGUGUGGUCCAGUAGUGCUGCCUCCAACCCACGGUUAAAUAAUUCUCCGAAGCUCAAUCAUGUAAUCUACAAUCAAAGUUCCCUGUUCUACAGGUGUCACCUCCAAGGCUUUCCCUUUCCCUCCCCGUCUGCUGUGGCAAGGAUGGUCCAUGGACAUUGUAGAUUCUCAGAAUGCCUUCCAGAGUUUGGAGAUGUUCUGAGGAGUGGCUUCCCAGCCACGGACCACUCUUCCCAACCUUCUUUGCAUUUCAACGGGACCAUAUGAAGGUGGGGCCAAUGGAAGUUCAGAGGAAGUAAAGCGGACUAUGUCCAGCCUGAGGAAUUACACACUGCUGUGGCCCAACCCUUUCUUUGCCUGACCUGAGGAACCUGGGUUAGGAGAACCACAGAGCAAAAGGAGUUCCCGUUUAAAAUGAUUUCGACAUCAAGAUGUGAUGGAUUUGUACCCUGAUAUGCUGAAGUAAGUUUUGUUAGUUAUUCCAGUCACUAUCCAGGGUGAUUCAAUGACUUCUGCAGGGCUGGAGAGCAGUGCAGCCCUGUCUCUGAGAACAGCUUUCACAUGCAUAUUCACCACAUAUAGGAAAAUGCAAGGACUGCAUUCUGGAUGAGAUGGGAUUGCUUGCAUAGAUCAGCAUGUCUGCUGAAACAGUAAGAAAUGCCAAGUCAAAUACAAAUAGAUUAUGUGUGAGGUCGUUAGUGAGCUAAUGAUGCAGUGGGGCCCAGAGAGGCCAAGAUUUCAGACGAGAGAACCUCAGAAGGCUAAGCUGGAUCUCUGGAGCUGUUUUCCCUGGGGGCAUUGGCCAAAUCUGUUCACAGAGCGAGAGACUGAGAAUCUGGGGUUUGCCCAGUCAGAGGACUGGCACUUAGUAGGGGCAAGAAACAUCAUUAUAGAGAUGCUGCACAGGGUAAGAGGCUAAAGUCACCCAAAUUACCCUGAAAGUGGACUGGAAUCCAAAGAUAAAGCAGACGAAGUAAAGGGAACCACAGAUCAUUCUCAUGAGAAAUAAUAGAAAAUAAGUUUCAUGUAACUAUGAUUAAUACACAUAAGGAAAUAGAAAAAAAGAGAGAAAAACCAGAGAAUUUCAACAGAGAACCAAAAUCUCUAAUUAGGAAACAAAUGAAGCAGAAGUAAAAUAUACAUUAUCUGAAAUUAGAAGCUCAAUAGUGAGUUUAACUGCAGGAUUAGUCUUUUGAUAUGAAAAUGGCAUACACAAAAAAUUUAACACAGACUAGAUCUAAAAGUUGAAGCUGUAACACUGCUGGAG